GGAAACAUCACUGCCUGGUACGGAAACGGCACGGAACAGGACCGCAAGGCCCUGCAGAGAGAGAUUACAUCAGCUAAAUACACAAUAGGCGGUGCUCUACCCUGCCUAAAGGAUAUUUACACCAGGCGCUGCAAGAAAAAGGCUGAGAGAAUCAUUAAAGAUCCAAACCACCCGGGUAAGAGCCUUUUCUCCCUG